rnacentral:rRNA from 1 species
AGAGUUUGAUCAUGGCUCAGGAUGAACGCUAGCGGCAGGCCUAAUACAUGCAAGUCGUACGGGAUAGGCACUUCGGGUGUCUUGAGAGUGGCGCACGGGUGCGCAACGCGUAUGCAACCAACCCCCGACGGGCGGAUAGCCGGUGGAAACGCCGGAUAAUACGCCAUGGUUCCCCCGAGUGGCAUCACCAGGGGGAUAAAGCAGUGAUGCGGUCGGGGACGGGCAUGCGUCCCAUUAGAUGGUAGGCGGGGUGACGGCCCACCUAGUCGACGAUGGGUAGGGGAUCUGAGAGGACGGUCCCCCACACUGGUACUGAGACACGGACCAGACUCCUGCGGGAGGCAGCAGUAAGGGAUAUUGGGCAAUGGUCGGAAGACUGACCCAGCCAUGCCGCCGUGAGGGAAUGAGGCCCUACGGGUCGUGAACCUCUUUUAUUCGGGGACAAGGCGGCGCACGGGAUGCGUUGUUGAGGGUACCGAAGGAAUAAGCAUCGGCUAACUCCGUGCCAGCCGCUGC